AUUAAGGCUCUCUACAUUUGGAAGAUCAUACAACCAAUCUUCUCAUCAAACUUUUAUCACUAAUACAAGAUGUAUUGCUGUAUAAGUUUUUUGCCUCUUCACCUCUGCAAAUGAGAUGGGUGGUAAAAUAUGAUUAUAUGAAGGAACAACAUAUGGUGGAAUCAAGAACCCAUGCUAACUUUUGGCGAUGUUUGGAUCGAGAUUCCAAACACAAUGUUUUGUGCUCUGAACAUAAGCAACAGUAUGUUGUCAUAACUUGGGCGAGGAGGAGACUCCUGAUUUAUGAGGAUGCAGAAUGGUUCUCUGGACCUAUGUUUGACUAUUGGAAAAUGAAGAAUCUUGUCCAAUUCCAAUACCUAGACUAGGUCACAGGGAUGAAGCUGUAUUACCAUAGCAAAUUUGAAAUGUCAACUGUGUUUUUGAAGGCGCUGGGGACAUUCACUGGUAGAUAAAAGUUUAAGGCUUCUAGUUAGUGGUUCCAGAGCAAUAACAUAUAUCAUAUGUUGAAUACUAUUAUGAUGCAGGUAUAACCCUUUAAAAGAUAAUGAAGUUUCUUAAUAGAUAUUAGGAAUAGCUGAAUCUGCCACAUACCUUUGGUAUAUAGAUGCAUUUGGUUUUGUAUGAGAUGAAUAUGCA